rnacentral:rRNA from 1 species
UACGUAGGGUGCGAGCGUUGUCCUGAAUUACUGGGCGUAAAGAGCUUGUAGGUGGUUUGUCGCGUUGUUCGUGAAAUCUCACGGCUUAACUGUGAGCGUGCGGGCGAUACGGGCAGACUAGAGUACUGCAGGGGAGACUGGAAUUCCUGGUGUAGCGGUGGAAUGCGCAGAUAUCAGGAGGAACACCGGUGGCGAAGGCGGGUCUCUGGGCAGUAACUGACGCUGAGGCACGAAGGCCAGGGGAGCAAACGGG